GAUUUUUUUUAUUAAUAUUUUUAUUUAUAUUAUAUAUAAUAAUAUAUAUAUAUAUAUAAAUGUUAUUUAAUUUGUAAUUAUUAUAAAAAUAAUUUAAUUAUUAAAUGUUUUAGUAUUAUUUAAGAAUAAAUUUUUAGUUUUAUAGUUUAAUAGUAUUGUAAAAGAAUUAUAUACAUUAUUUAAAGAUUAAAAUUUAGUACCUUUUGUAUCAGGGUUAAUUAAAAUUUUUAAUUUAUUUUAAUUUCUCAAAAUUUAUAGAGUUAAUUUUAUUAUUAAUUUAUUGUUUUAUAAAUAUUUAUAAAAUAAUUUUAGUUUUGAUAUUUAAUUCGUUAUAAUAUAUUUAGUUAUUUAAGAUUUAAAUUUAAUUUAAAAUUUUAAAAGUUAAUUUAAUUUAUUUAAAUGUUAUUUUAAAUUUAAAUUAUUUUAGGGAUAAGCUUGAAAUUUAUAUAUAAUUUUUAUUAAAUUAAAUAAUUUAUAGAAAUAGAAAUUUUUAUUAUAAGUUUGUAAUAAUUUAUUAUUUAUUUAUAUUUAAUUUAUUAUAAUUAAUUUAUUUAUUAUAUUAGAUUUUGUAAUUUAAUUAUUUAUUUACAGUAAUAAUGAUUAAAUUAGUAUAAUUUAUAUUUAUAAAUUAUGAAUUCGGCAAAUUUUAUUUUCAUCUGUUUAAUAAAAACAUUGUAUUAAGUUUUAUUUAAUAUAGGAUCUGCUCAAUGAAAUUUAUUAAAUAGCUGCAGUAUUUUGACUGUGCAAAGGUAGCAUAAUAAUUAGUCUUUUAAUUGGGGACUUGAAUGAAAGAUUUGAUGAGAAAUAGACUUUAUUAUUUAUAAAAUUAUAAUUUUAUUUUUAAGUAAAAAAGCUUAAAUAAUUUAAAGGGACGAUAAGACCCUAUAAAACUUUAUAUUUAUAUAGUUUUAAUUUGUAUGGUUAGUAAUAGUUUAAUAUUAUAUAAUUAUUUUAUUGGGGUGAUAAAAAAAUUAAUUAACUUUUUUUAAAUUUAAACAUUAUUUAAUGAAAAUUUGAGUUAAAAUUUUUAAUUAAAGGAUUAAGUUACUUUAGGGAUAACAGCGUAAUUAAUUUUUUAAGUUCUAAUUUAAAAAUUAGAUUGCGACCCCGAUGUUGAAUUAAGAUUAAUCUUAGGUGCAAAAUUUUAAGUAUUAGGUCUGUUCGACCUUUAAAUUCUUACAUGAUUUGAGUUCAAACCGGUGUAAGCCAGGUUGGUUUCUAUCU
rnacentral:rRNA from 1 species